CAGCAUACGAGGGAAGGUGGAGUGUGCGUCUCACGGUGAUAGCCGGGCCGAGUGAACCAGAGGGGGGUGGAGCUCCAAAAGGGGUCGAGACGGCGAAGCUGAUGGUGAACCAAAUAUCAGGCGGACAGGUGGACAGGCGUACGUUACCGCUGAGAGGCGACUACGGACUGGCGUGGAGCAGCAGGUAGGGCAGGAUUAAAUAGUCCACCUGAUGAUCGCCUGGGAUGGGAUGCAGGUGUGGGGUUAGCAGCCACGCUCGUGGGCGUGGACAUCCCAGCGGCACCCCGGACGCCGGGCCGCGGACCAUGACAACCACAAUGGAUGAUGUACUUUUAACCUCAUGGUAUCUUGAAGAGCAACUUCAGAAAGAUGUUUUGAAACUGAAAAUGACACAAAAAGAACAUGCACAGAAAGUGAAAGUGAGUAAAAGGGAUUUGGGACACACUGAAGGUCCCGCUGGUGCUGAUCCACUGCACACAGAACAAGCAUGAAUCAUUAAAGAGAGGCUUUGCUUUGAUGUUUAUCAGUGGCUGCCUGAGUGUCUACGCAUAUUCCCCACAGGGAUGGGGAAUCUCUUCCCUUCCAGAUGUGGCUGUAACCUGGAACAACCUGUGCUUUUAUGUGCUUGUAGCCAACAGAUCUGCUAACUGUAGCCUGGGUCUUAGUGUGUCACUGAUAUGCUCAGGUAAAUUCAGAAAUGUGCCCAAUCUUUAGAUCUUAAUAUUAAUGAUGUGAUGGGCAUUAUACAUUAACAAUUUAUAUAUUUAUUUAUAUAGCUUGACACUUAUGGAUCAAUGGAAUUGGGUUGAAGAGGCAGUUUCCUUUGAUAAAUUUUCACCUGUCAGCAUAAGUCUCAAGAAAGAAGGUAUAUGAAAAUAUGAGUUUGCCUGGCUAUUGAACUGCAUUUGAUUCUGGGAACUUAUUGUUUAAUUUGCAAAUAUGAGUAUUGAGCAGAUUUCAAGUGGAAACCAGAAGGUUUUCCUGAGAAGAUGAUUGUGCCCCUUGACAACAGAUUCUACUCAGAGAGGUGAACACAUCUUUGUGUAGAACACACAGCAGUAACACCAGAUUACAGCCUAACGUGUACAGUGUAAGUAAUCUAAUCCACAACUGCAGGUCCAAAGGAAAAGACUUACAUUUUAAGGGAACAAAUCAGAUCCCGAUCUGCUCUCAUUAUGAGCUAUGUAUAGCCAUUACUGUAGGAUACUUGCUGUGAGUUUGGGGGAAGAUGGGAUCAUUGAUUCUGUAACCAUUAUUAUUCAGAGAUUGUAUUUUUAAAUUAACAUGGCCUACUUACCAGCACUGGAGGGGGAAAACACAAAAUAACAAAGCAAAAUGGGGGUAGGCAGAGGACAGAGGACACACUUCUUUUUAUAGGUUUUGGGCUUUUGUUGUGUAACUAGAAGGGAAUCUCAGUUUCUGAACACUUCAUCAGCAAACUAUUGUUUUGAUGCUCAUCUAUGAGUCAUAUGAGCUCAUCAAUGAUCCACAGGACAUCUGAAAAUACCCUGCCAUCAGUGGCACACAGCCAAUCUUGAGCAUAAUAACUGUUGUAACAUAGUGAUUGUUCGCUUAAUUUGAAGUGCUGUUUAAUUUUGCUCAACAAAAUGAACAUUGUGCUUAUGAUUUUUGUAUAAUCUGUAUUAAAACAUCCCCCAAAAUUAGUAAA
ensembl:lncRNA